CCCCAGGGCCAUAUGUUGAAUGCACUGAUUCUUGUGUGAUCACCAAAGUUAAGCAAAGUUGAGCCUAGUUAGUGUUUAGAUGGGUGACUGCUUGGGAAACCAGGGUACUGUAAAAC
rnacentral:rRNA from 1 species